rnacentral:lncRNA from 1 species
UAACAGCCACAUAUCAUAAUAUAAAAUCAAUUUAUCAAAGGUUUGUUCCCAAAACACUCGUUUUCAAAUAAAAUUGAAUAAAAUCAUUCAAGCAAAUAGUGCAAAUAAGUUUACAUUCCCAAAAUAAUUUUUGAAAUGCAAGUCCACUCAUCGGUGUUUAUUGAGCCUUUAACCGACUCUAACUUCCCUAAUGGUCCAAUUGGGAUGGUGUGGCUUCAUUGGAACCUAUCAUCACAUUAACAUCACAAUUAUGUUAAUUCACAUACUUAUAGAGUCCAAAAGCUUUCUCUUAGCUUACUUCAAAUGGCCAUUAAAUGGCUAUCCAUUUUCACUAUCCUAUCAUUCCAAAGUGAAUUAACAAUCUCAACUACAAAAUAUUCACAAAUCAAAUCUCUAGUCAUUCUCAACACUAAAAUUUCAACUCAAAUUUACUACUCACCUUUAAAACUUUGAAAUUCUUUCCAACAAUUCUCCAAACUAUUGUAAAACUUCCUCUUUCUCUCUCUAAAGCACCUAACUAGUGAGAAAGAGUAUGAAAACAAGAUUUUUCAAGGGUUUUAAAGUGAGAGAAUGGAAGAGCACAAGGGUUUAUGGAAAGGGUGCACCAAAAGCAUGAAAUUUGGAGCUAUUUGAGGAAGGUUGUGGAGCUUUCUUAUCAAGCUUUCAUGGAGGUUGGGAAGCAACGUGAAAGAGAAAAAGAAGAAGAAGAAAA